AGAGUUUGAUCCUGGCUCAGGAUGAACGCUGGCGGCGUGCCUAAUACAUGCAAGUCGAACGAGAACCGGAGCUUGCUCCGAUUCGAGUGGCGAACGGGUGAGUAACACGUAGGUAACCUGCCUUUCAGUUUGGGAUACCCGAGGGAAAACUUCGGCUAAUACCGAAUACGAAUUUAAGAGGCAUCUCUUGAAUUUGAAAGGGGCUUUCAAGCCCCGCUGAUUGAUGGACCUGCGGCGCAUUAGCUAGUUGGUGAGAUAACAGCCCACCAAGGCGAGGAUGCGUAGCCGACCUGAGAGGGUGAACGGCCACAAUGGGACUGAGACACGGCCCAUACUCCUACGGGAGGCAGCAGUAGGGAGUUUUCGGCAAUGGGGGAAACCCUGACCGAGCAACGCCGCGUGAACGAAUGAAGGUCUUCGGAUUGUAAAGUUCUGUUGGUAGGGGAUGAAUGAUUCGUGGAAGGAAAUGUCACGAAUUUGACAGUACUCUACCAAGAAACGCCACGGCUAACUACGUGCCAGCCGCGGC
rnacentral:rRNA from 1 species